AUGGUACCAGCUCAGCAGGUG
rnacentral:misc_RNA from 1 species